CUUUGUGCUUCAUGGGCUUCCCUCACCCCCAACAGAUCAAGACUCUAACGGACAUCUAAAUUGCAACAAUCAACUCUCAUUGCUGGAUACACAGAAGUUCUUGCCAGCUUCAAAUGAGCUUUGGCCACAUGAAUUUUCUUCCUACAGUGAUUUGAAGUCAAUGGGAUGACCAUGACUUACUGAAAACAGCAUUUUGCCAAUGUUGAUGCUUUUGAAAAUCUCAUCUUUAAAGCUCUGUGGAAGUAAUUGGGCAGUAAAGCUGUUAUGAUCAGAAACUGCAACACCAGAAUGACUGGAAAUAUGGUCAGGAUGCAUACUUCUGCUUUGCAGUUGGAAUUGUAGCAUUCUUGAAAGAUUUCAUGAAGUCUGAAUAUUCAUUUCUUUUGGGAGAAGCUAAGGAUCUUCUGGUAGAGCAAAUUUUUCUGUUGUUUGGACCAAAGCAAAAUAGGACCUGGAAAAUCAGAGAAUUAUAGCUUCUUUUUUUUUUUUAAUUGGUUUCUUCAUUUGUUUGGAUGGUUUUGUGCAAUGAUUAGAGACUAAAUGUUUUAUUUAAGCUGCUUUGAUUUCCUCUAAUAUCAUUGCCAACUUGAGCACAAGAUGAUACAUGAAAUCAAAAAUUCCUUUCUGAAAAUGUUAUACUACGCCGUUUACCAAAUCAAGCACUUCAGUUCUCAUUAGCUCUAGAAUAAAAUAUUCUGGGGUUUAGGCAAAAAGCAUCUAUCCUAUUAUGGAUAUGCCAUUUUCUGUAAAAUUGUAUUUCAACUGGUACCUGGAAUAUGGCUAACCUACCUGCUUUUGGCUUGAAAAUAAAAAACAAAUCUUCAUUUUACCAUUUUAUCUUCCCUAAUUUGUACCAUAUAAAUAUGGUUUGUCUUGUACUAUUUAGCUAAAUUAGCAAAUAACCAGACCAAUAAGAAACAAAUAACUGUUUUCCCACUGGAUUUCUCACUGCCCUUCCAGCCACUGAGCCUUACUUGUUCUUGGCAAUUCUGCAAUUAUGCAGCUUUAAGUGAAAGAUACACAACAUGCACCCCCUUCCAUCUUAUGUCUUGCUCCAGUAUGUCCCCAAUUUACAUUUUUUCUUUCUAUUUACUGAGAAUAUUACACCUUUCCCAUUGUAAGUAAAUGCCCAACUGACUGAAAAAAAAUGUUAAAAUAGCAGUGGGGCAAGAGAGAGGCCAAAGAAAAUGGCAUCAAUCCUACUGGAAUAGGAUAUGUAAUCUCUCACUUUUUAUACUUUGUGAGGUUAGGUUUCCCAUUGUAAUACAGUAACACACAAUUUCUUUGAUAUUUUUGUACCUUCAGCAUGGCCAUUUACAAUAGAAUAAUUUUUGACUGGGAUCUACAAAAUCUGACUGACACAGUCCAUUACUGUGCAUGUCUUUGUUACUUAUUCCAGCAGGGACAUGGAUGAAUUAUCAUGGAAUCAUAGAAUGAUUUGAGUUGGAAGGGACAUUAAAGAUCCUCUAGUUCCAAUGCCCUGCCACAGGCAGGAACAUAUUCCACUAGAUCAGGUUGUUCAGUGCACCAUCCAACCUGAACUUGGACACUGACAGAGAUGGGGCAUGCACAACUUGUCUGGACAACCUGUUCCAGUGCCUCGCCACCCUCACAAUAAAUAAUGAUUAUAUUAAUAAAAAGAAUAAUCAUUAUCAUAACCAUCAUCCUAAUAUGCAAUCUAAAUCUCCCUUUUUUCAGUUUAAAGCCAUUCUCCCUUGUCCUAUCACUAAUUCCCUUGUAAAAACUCCCUCUCAAACUCCCUUGUAGGCCUCCUUUGGGUACUGGAAAGUGCUGUAUGGUCUUCCUGGAGCCUUCCCUUUUCCAGGCUGAUCAACUCAAUUCUCUCAGCUUAAAUUCACAACAGAGAUUCUCAUGUCCUCUGAUCAUCUAUAUGGCCUUCCUAUGGACUCAUUCUAACAAGUUGAUGUCCUUCUUAUGUUGGAGGCAAGUAUUCCAGUCUGGGUGCGGAAUUCUCUGAGAGGGUUCAAAGUGGGAUUUUGAUGCACAGAAUGGUCUUACAGGGUCCUGCUGUGGUCACCUUUAUAAAACAAUAACAAUAAUACACACUUUCUCCUGAAUGAAAAACUUUCCCAUUAUCCCUGCCUGAACAUGUCUAUUAAAAGCUCAUAUUCUUCCUGUACAGUUAAAGUUGUUUACUGGCUAUUCUCAUCUAACAAAUCUGUAAAUGUUUCUACAAACUUGCACUUAUCAUGUAGGUUAGAUUCUUUUACUUUUGUUUUUGGUGCUUUAAGAUGUCAUAUUACUCAUGAACUUAUGAUGCAUAAGUGUUCUUUCUGCACAACACCCACAUAACACAUUUUAAUUACAACACAUACACCCUCUCUUUUUGUUCAUAUUUUCAUUAUCUCUUUGUUUGUUAUUAUGGAAAUAGUUGUGUUACUGGCAUAUUACUGACACCAUCAAAAGGCAGAAUUCAAUUUAUUUGUCUCACGUUUCGAAAUGCAGCAAGCUUACUAAUUAUCACCCUUUUUUUCCAUCUGUAACUGCAGUCAAUCUCGUUGAAGUGGUCUAUAUGUUCUCACCUGCUUUACAGCGAGACCAAAUAAAAGUAAACUCAAAGGAAAAAAGCCACUUUUCAAAAUUUUAUUCUAGCUUGUUUGCUGAAACCUCCAGGAAAAUUGUCAAGAGAUUUUCAGUAUAAAUGUUUAUGUUACAAACUGAUUCAGAUCCUUUUCCUUUUGCUAUUCUAUCCCUUCUCCUAAUUUUGUUUUAAAUGAUUAGUGGCUUGUAGUGGUUGACACCACUAUUUGGGGUCAUACUAGUAAAUGAUAUUAUGUCAUCAUUCUGACAAGGCAUUUAAUAUCUCUCUUUAUUAAUCAUCUUACACCUUUUAAAUAUUUCAUUACUGCAUUUUUCAUACACUGUAUGAGGUUUUUUCACCAAAUAAGAGACAAUACUUGGUCAUUUCUCCCGUGGCCUAGAGUGGAGACAGUAUUUUCAUCUCUUAUUAUAAUGUGAAAUGUGUAAUGUAACUCAUGGAAUCAAUAAAAAUAUUCAAUACAUGAAUCAAAAAUCAAGUUAUUUCAGUUAAGAGUAAGAAUCCCUAAAAGCUGCGUAGUCAUAUCGCCAACAGUAUUUAUUGAGAUAGUAUAUCGUAAAAUGAAUUCUAUUGAGAGCAAGAC